GCUCAGUGUAAGUUCUCCGUUAGCUUGUCAAGCUAUGUUUGAACUCGUUCCAGAAUACUGGAAAAUACUGGAUUUACUUUUUUUUUCCCCCACCAGGAAGAAUGCUUGAUUAGACUGCAUUUUGCCCUUCUUUUUUUUCUCUCUCUCUCGUUCUUUCUUUCUUUCUGCCAUAAGAUUGGAAACAAUAUUCUUUUCUGAUCAGUUCACUAAUACAUUGUCCUUCAGUGUCUACAUGAACAUUUCAGUGGAGAAGAAAAGAAACUUUGCUACCUGGGAACUGAAGACUGCUUAGGUCAGUGAAUGCUAAUAAAGUUUUAAGGACUCAUGGAGCCAGGAGUUAACUUUUCUCAACUGUUAAGGGGAAUAUUGGAGAAGACAGAAACUAGAGAGAAAUUGUAGCCAGAGCAGAUUUCGGUUGGCCGUAAGAAGUUUCUUCAUGCAAUGAGAAAUGAACAAAUGACGGACAUGCUCACAGAUUGUAGAAAGAAGGGAAAGGAUGGAAAAGGAGAGAAAGAGAAACAUAGAGGCAAGAGAGAAGCAUUGAUCCAUUGCCUCUCCUACCUGCCCCAACCGGGAACUGAACCCACAACCUAUGUAUGGAUGUACCCCAACGGGGAAUUGAACCCGCAUCCUUUCUGCUUAGUGGAUGACCCUCCAACCAACUGAGCUGCACUGCCCAGGGCAAUAUGAAUGUACUUAAUGCCAAUGAACUGUAUAAGUAUGUUUUAGAUGGUAAAUUUAAUGGUAUA